GAGGGGUGCGCUUGGUCCGCGGCGGCUGUUGGCGAACGAUUGGCCCGCGAGCGCACUUUCGCUCUUCCGCCCGCGAUCUCCGCAAAGUGAAGUUGCUGACACACAGGAAACCCUCCCCGCCGCCUGGAGCCCGCUGCCUGCUCCGGAGCCGACCAGUCACAGGCCGGAGUCUCGAAGGCCCCCUAGCACCAAGCCAGGUGUUUGCAGACUGCAAACAGCCAGCAGUCCCGGCUGGGAACGCCCAGGCCAAGCGCGGCGCCUCGCUGUGCCGAGCACAUAGGGAUCCUGCCCUAUAGCUGGGAGAAAGAAUGCUGCACAGAGAGGAUGAGAAGAAUUUACACAGGACUUCACAAUUACCAUCCAGGGUCACUGUCAUGAUUGAAUGCAUAAGCCGCCAUAUGCAGGGCCCCAAAUGGUAGGUUCUUUUGUCAUUGUAUUCAUUCUAUCACUUGGAAAUUAUUUUAACAUGAAAUUUUAUUCAAUUGCUUUGAAAGCACUGAUAUGACUACAACGUACAGAGCAGCGGCUCCGCCUGCUUCCCUGAGGAAACUCUGCAAUCAGCUGUGUCCAUUUCCUGUAAAACAGUUUUGCAUUAAAAGCAGUUUAAGAUCACCUA
rnacentral:lncRNA from 1 species